rnacentral:rRNA from 1 species
ACGGACCUACGGGACGCAGCAGUGGGGAAUAUUGGGCAAUGGGCGCAAGCCUGACCCAGCAACGCCGCGUGAAGGAAGAAGGCUUUCGGGUUGUAAACUUCUUUUCUCAGGGACGAAGCAAGUGACGGUACCUGAGGAAUAAGCCACGGCUAACUACGUGCCAGCAGCCGCGGUAAUACGUAGGUGGCAAGCGUUAUCCGGAUUUACUGGGUGUAAAGGGCGUGUAGGCGGGGAAGCAAGUCAGAUGUGAAAACCAUUGGCGCAACCUGUGGGCUGCCUUUGAAACUGUUUUUCUUGAG